CAGCAGCCGCGGUAACACGUAGGGGGCAAGCGUUGUCCGGAUUUAUUGGGCGUAAAGAGCUCGUAGGCGGCUCGGUAAGUCGGGUGUGAAAACUCUGGGCUCAACCCAGAGACGCCACCCGAUACUGCUGUGGCUUGAGUCCGGUAGGGGAGCGUGGAAUUCCUGGUGUAGCGGUGAAAUGCGCAGAUAUCAGGAGGAACACCAGCGGCGAAGGCGGCGCUCUGGGCCGGAACUGACGCUGAGGAGCGAAAGCGUGGGUAGCAAACAGGAUUAGAUACCCUGGUAGUCCACGCCGUAAACGUUGGGUACUAGGUGUGGGGGGUGGUCAACGCCUUCCGUGCCGAAGCUAACGCAUUAAGUACCCCGCCUGGGGAGUACGGCCGCAAGGCUAAAACUCAAAGGAAUUGACGGGGGCCCGCACAAGCGGCGGAGCAUGUUGCUUAAUUCGAGGCAACGCGAAGAACCUUACCUGGGUUUGACAUGUAGGGAAAAGCCAUAGAGAUAUGGUGUCCUUCGGGGCCCUACACAGGUGGUGCAUGGCC
rnacentral:rRNA from 1 species